rnacentral:lncRNA from 1 species
CUUCUCAAACAGUUUAAUAGCAAAUAAACAAAGGAAGGUACCACACUUGGCAUAUACAAAAUGACUUGUUGUCGGUGUGUCUGUGCAAUUAAAACAGCUUUAAGUUGCCCUUUGGGACAAAAAAGAAAAAAAAACACACACACAAAAGGAAGAAAAUUCCUUUAACACAUACUCGCUCGUUCCAAACUUGUAACAAAUCUUUUCAUCUUGAAAUCCACUACACAAACUCUGCCAUCGGAUCAGAAAAGCAACACGUGCUCCUCUGUUUUUUAAACCAUUAAAGUAAAAUCUGUAAUUCUCUACAGAGUACAACACAAUUUCACACAAAAAAGACAUUUUUGUUUUGCAAAUCAAAACAAGAAAAAAAAUAAUAAAAGGAACAGCUCAAAACAAGGUAAAGAAAAGCAUUUCUACGACUGAACCACGACUUCGAGUUGAUUAAAUCCCAUUACUGCAGAACAGACUCUACAUUUGGUCAUAGUGGCAAUUUGUUUUCUCGUCACAUUGUGAAUCACUUUACAUUGUUUUCUAGUAGAAAAGGCAAAAAACUGUACAAAACCCCUAGUGUUAAAUACAAUGUUUGUACCAAUAAAAAAGCCCACAGGUUUGUCUCCAAAAUGUAAAUUUUCUUUUUAAAUUAUUCACAAAAAGCAGCCAAAAAUCAGAAAGGCAGCUGCUGCUCCACUGUCUCAAAUCCAUUAAAACCACCACAGAACAAUUAAAACAACCAAAGGAAGAAAAGGAAAGAAGAAAGGAAAGAAACAUCCAACGUUUGGCAUUUUGGUUUUCUUCAGAUAGUUUUUCCACAGGUUUCUCCAAAGUUCCUUAUGGAACCAAAUGCUCAUGUACAGAAACGUAUUGGCAGUUACUCAAUACACUGCAGGGUACCAGUGCCCCCCACUGACACACAGCCCUGUGCAUUCAGACUGUGGGACUAACAGCAGCCAGCCCACAACCCUACCUCCCAAAUCAACAAGGUUCUCUCCUUUUUUCAUCCAGCCUCACGCUUUACUCCCAGGUGUAUGUACCAUAUCCCAAACAUGGUCUGUCUUAUAAGCAGAUUAAGGACUGUCUCCACAAGUCUAGCCAGUAUCUGCUGAGGAUAUCCUCAGCCAACUCAGGAGUAGGAUAGAAAAGAAAUCCUUUUGCAUCUUUGCAUUCUCCCAAACACUGGACAAAAGUGAGAUUUCCAUCCAAUCAAACACGAUUUGUUUUCUCAGCAAAACCCCUUCUCCUGGGAUUUCAUUUCACAUUAUUUUCUACUGUUAAGAUACCUACACAAGCUUGCUUCUCCUUCUGACUGAAACUUCAUCACAGUACACGCUCUUCAUCUAGAAGCUACAUCCCAGUUUCUACCUGUGCAGAUGGUAUGUAGGGUAGGGGGAAAGCCUGCUACCCAGAAAGCAGUAACCUGUUCUAGUUCAUCCUGCAAGCCAGAAAAAAAACCUGCUUAGCUCAUUGCCCAAUUAAAAACUAAACAAAAAGUAAAAAAUCUCCGGAGAGAUUCCCCAGCUAAGGCCCUUGAGAAGAGAGCUGGGGAUGGUACCCUGUUCAGGUAACAGCUGCAGAGGCUGUUGUAUUGUGCUUGUCGCUUGGGAAAAGAGCCAGCAGUUGUAGGACCAGGUUUACAAAUGCUUUCUCCGGGCUAUUUCCAACACUUUAUUGCAAGAGCUAACCUAGAUCCUGCUUUCCAGGAUCCUGCCAUCAAGGUCUGACUGAUGGUAUUAAACUGGGGCUGGAUUUGACAUAAAUAUGCCCUGAAUGAUACAAAAGAUGUUUCAAUGGAGCCCUAGCUUCAGAUAACUUCGGAAGCAGAAAUACUGUGAAGUUCCCCCACCUUCCUGCUCCCCAGCUAUCUCCUUCCACCAAAAUUUCCAGUACAAGAACAGUGCAGCCAAGCCCCUAGGCGCCUCUGACAGCACUGGAGAUGGAGCAAGGUCCAGGUGCUCUGUCAGGCAGACAGUCUAAGUGCACAGGUAGAUGCCCUCAGGUGGCUUCUGAUCAGAUAAUUGUCAUACCAAAACCACCAAUUUAAAGGAUACCUUUGAAACCCAUUAAAUUGCUCAGUUUUUGCACAAACUAUAGAAAACGGAGAGGUGAAGGUGAUAUAUACGAGGGUGUGAAGAAAACAGCAGGAAACAUGCAAAACAUUUCUGGGCACUAUCUUAGUUUGAAAGAUUAAAACAGAAACAUCACAUUUUGCUGAGGAGAUUGUAGUUACAAAAAAGAACCCAAGCAUGCUGGAGCUUAACAAAAUACAACAUCAACUUUGAUCAAAUUUUCACUGCAGACUGAUAAUCACAUAGGGAAGCAGGGGGGAAAAAUAAAAAUAAUAAUAAUAAUAAAAAAAAUCAAUAAAUGUUGGGCAAAAAAUGUAGCUACAAUCAGAAGAAAAUGUAGUUCAAGUGUUUUCUGCUGAUGCCACUCAAGUCACAAGUUUGAACUCAUAAAAACACAUGCUGUCUCCUCAAGCACAGAAACCAGAUCAGCAAAAUGUGACUAGGAAGUCUCCUGAAAGAUUGAGUCACACCAUAGAAUUGACUUUCUCUUCGAAACGGUGGUGUUUUAUGUUUUUUUCCCAACUAAGCACACAGAAAAAAACCCCUAAGCCUAGAAAGUGAUUGGCUGUAUGUUCACAGAAAUACAAAUACUCACAAGGUAUGCUAGCAAGGCUGCUCUGAAGACAAUUACAAAGAAUCAGAUUCACAAAAUCAAGUGGUUAUCUUACGAAGGUCUAGAAAAAUAGAAAUUCUUUUAUAUUCAAAUGCAAGUUUAAAUAUUCCCCUGCAGCAGUCUUUCUAGCAAAACCAAUUUGGCAGCACGAAAAUAAAAUAAAACCAAAAAGAAAAAAAAAAACAAACCAAAAAAAACAAAAAAAGAAAGAAACAAACGUAAUAAAAAUACACAUCAGCAUCAAAGGUGAACACAAGGUCAAAGGUGAGAGUUCAAGCAUCAGAGAAGCUGAAGAGACAAGGAUUUGGACGAUGUACUUGAACGCCACAUCGACAUGCUUUAGGCACAACGAUGAACAAACGGCAGGAAUCUAGAAAAAAAAACAAACCAGAAAGAGGGAGACCCACUGAGUUACACAGAGCAGUACAUCCAAACACGGAGAGAGAGAACAAGAAUGGGCACUGUACAAUGAGAUCUCCUGGGGAAGGGAGUUGACAGGGAAGGGCAGCACAUGCCAACGAUGGACAAGUAAAAGUCGAAGUACAUGAAGGACACCAAGUAAACAUCAAACUGCCAGAAACCAAAUUGAAGCAGAGGCCUGGAUUUCCCUCUCAACACCCAGUCUGGGGAGCUUUCCACAGCCCAGAGCACUUUGGUUAGCAUGCAUUUGCCUUGCCCUGUGCCCAGUGUCUGCACUAGCUCUGUUAAGGAGAAGAACAGAGCAAGCUCCCUCCCCAGGAGACCAACUCCAAAAAAUAUGGCUCCAGGGCUAACAUUUGCCCACAGAGACUGAGACCAUGAGAGACAAGACAGAGGACAUAAGGGAUUCACAGGUGGUUUGACGGCUGAGACUUUUCCUGCACCCUAAUGUGGGAAGUUCUUAGGCAGUAGUAGCCCAGGAAAUCCAUGUUCUUUCCUUCAGCUACAGUCCCUUCUCAUUCCCUAGGAGCCCAUGAAACUGGGGGUGGGUGAUUUGGAACAAGGGGGAAGGGGAAAAAUAAUUAUACAAGACAAACCCUCCAUAUCUCAGAGAAGAAUUCCUUAAGACUUGACUGCAAGUUAAGACUUGUCCUAGCUGAGCACUUUUCAUGCCAUUAGGCCUACACAGGGAUUUUGCAUUCCCAGCUCCCUGACUUCAUGAGGAGGGGAUUCUGGGCUCUGAGAAGCUCUACAGUCACUGUUGCCAGUUUGAUGUGUAGAAAAAAAAUGUGUUUCCUGAAGCUUUCUUGAAGACUUUAUAAAUAAUUGUUAUAUUACGUGAUAUAAAUACCUUUGUUUUCUCCCCUCAGCUUGUGAGCUGCAAGAGAUAAGGAACAUUUUGGGAUCCUAAACCAGAAAGGCAAAUUCAUCACAAACUGAGGCAUGAGGAACGAGGCAUGAAAUCAAGUGACAUGUAAGCAUGUACCAUAGAAAUUCUUUGUGUGAUUUGUUUGGUUUUUUUUUUUUAUAGGGAUUUUUCAAAUAUUUCGCUCAGCAAAUUUGAGGAGAAAGACUAAGUUUCAUUAAAGCCCUGAGGAAACACUGGCCUGCAAGAGCAAAGCCGUGAGAUGCUGGAUAAGAACUUAAUAACCUGGGGAAAGUUAUUCCAGUUUGUCCUUGUUUUAUUAUCGCAAGUGUGAUGAUUCUGCCUUCUGUGUUUUAUAUUUUGUGGUAGAUACAUUUAAAUGUUUGCAACAAGCAGCUCUCAAAGCUUCUUGUGUGUUUUAUGUGUUCAUGCUUGCACCCUUUAUUUGAAAUUUGGUUUAUCCAAAUUGCUUUUAGACAUUUCCAAAUGAAAUGGGACAAUUUCAUUCUGCUUGGCUGCUCUUCCCUAACUCACAACCAUUAACUAGAAGAAACACUUCAAUUAAUUCUAUCAUGCAAGCAGAAUCUAUCAUACUACGUGGAGUUUCAGUAUUCAGAUGAAAAGCUUUCUCCUUAUAGAUAUAUUUGCCAGCGAGAAAUUUUCCGAGGCACCUAUUUUCCAGUGAGUAGUGCCCAUAGCUAGUAAACUGCCUCAGUAUUAAAAUAUAGAGAUACUCACCAUCACUGUCUCAGGUACUUUUAAAAAAUUCCAAUCCUCAUUCUGUUUAGGAUUAAAAUUUAAUCACUAUAUAUGAAAAGCAUUUUCUAAUAAUGCAAGUUUUGUAUUACUGGAAGAAAAAACUAAGCUACAAAGAGAUAAUCCUAUUUUGGACUGUUGAUUAUCGAGGGCACUGAAGACUAUGAUUUUCUUUACUACAGUACUUGAUACUAAGUGGCAUCAGACCAAGACUUCAACUGUUCACAAUACUUUUAUCUUAUUAUGGCAUAUCUAGUAAAAACAAAUGUGAGAAAACAAAUCUAUGAAGUAGACCAUUUCUGUCUCGUUUCUAAAAAUAUUAAGUAUUUCCUGGUGGCACAUGUAAUAUGGAAUUCCAUUUCAUCAGAAGACCUACUAGCUUUUGUUGUAGAAAAUUCAGAUUCUUUGGUUUAUAAGCAUACAGAAUACUCUGCCCAUGUGGCUACUUAAGCCAAUCCUUCUGCAGUUCAUUUGAACUCACCCAACUCUUAUCCUACUAUCCAGGAUAUAAAGCAUUUGACACUGAUUUGAUUUGCACUUGAAUGAGAGCAUGAUAGGAAUUAAAAAUACAAUAAAAUUUAAAAGCCCCAAGUCCCCAAAAUCCCAGACUUCCUUGCCAAUGAGUGAGGAAGAAACCUGUCUUAAGACUGGAAGGCAAAGAAGAGCCUAAAUCUCCAGAGUCAGUGGCAGCCACCAAACAGACACAGAAAUAUUGACUUUAUCUGAUCAGUUCUGUUAUCAGAAAAAAAUCUGCCCAAGUCACAAACUCGAUACAUUUAUUAACUUUGGCAACAUAUACAUAGAUACACCAAGAAAGGGAAAUCUGAAACAAAUACAC